UCUUCAUCAUCAGAACCCAGCCGUGUGACCAGGAGACGCCAGCACCUUCUAUGGGGUCCAGGGAGUAGCUGACCGCCAAGGACCAGCCAGUCUUCUGCCAACGUGAGGACUCUCUCCAUCUCUAGUCUCUAACAGAUCUUGCUGUAAAGAAGAACUAGGGCUGUGUGAUGGGAAAAUCACCAACCAGGUGUUGGGGCAUGAGACCUACGGCCUGUCCCACAGACACACAGACAGGGGCUUAGCGUCACCCCUUCUCUGGGAAAUGUAGAUCCCAACGCGGAGAGAUGUCACCGCCCACCUGCUGGGGGGAUCAGCACCAAAACUACAAGGAAAGACGAGUGUUGGUGAGGCUGUGGAGAUGGGACCUCGGUAUGCAAGCGAAAUGGCGCAGCAGCUCUGGAAACCAGUGGGGAUGUUCCUCAAAAAGUUCAAACUAGAGCUACCCUAUGAUCCAUCGAUCCUGCCUCAGCAUCUGGACCCAGAGGAAUUGAAAUCAGGACCUCGAUGAGAUAUGUGCACUGCCCUGUUCACUGCAGCAUCCCUCCCCGCAGCCGCAAUGUGGAGAGAUGAGCCGUCCACGCGCGCCGUGGCUAUAGCAGAAAAGACCCGCUGCCAUUUGCGACAACACGGCUGGGCCUCAAGGGUACUGCCCGAAGCCCUCCCGCUCUCCUGUCACCCACGUCACUUUGCAUAACUGCUCCCUGUGUCACCUGCGAAUGGUCUCACCUUCUCCCCCUCACGGCAGAGCUCUUGAGGGGGCACAAAAGCCGCAGAUGUCCAAGGUCAGCCUUCUGAGCGAGAUGGAACUGCCCUCUCACAUGCCAUUGUCACCUGGAAGCCCUGAUUGGCCUUGUCACCGCAGGGAGGCCAGAGCCACGCCGUUGGGGGCACAGAAACAGCUUGAUCAACUGAGAGUGACAAUGGGAAAGACCUACUGAAAGUUUCUAGGAAAAGGAAGAGCCAUGGAAGCCUCUGCUAGAACAGAGGUCGGCACAGGUCUCAUCCAAAGAGCCAGACGGCACAUAUUUUAGUUCUGCAGGAUCUUCGUGGCAGGGAAGCAGCGACUGACAGCAGGUUUUCUGCAGACUGUUUUAUGACAGUCUAACAAGUCAGGAAGAAAUGACUCCACAGAUAAAAUGUUUUACGAAGUAAGGAUUUACAAAAUAAAGGGAAGGAAAAAUGAACGGUUGGCAGGUGGAAGACAUGGGGAGAUGAGACUUGUGGUUUCCAACCCAAGAGCAGAUUGUGCAGAGAAGCAGGAUCUUGGUCACCAACGAGCAUGAGCUCAGGCAGGCACAGUUUUCCAGCCCAAGCAGAUAAAUGGAAUCAUUAACAAACAGAAAUCACUACCUUCUCUUUACUUGCACAUUUUUCUGCUGUUUGAAUAGGCAGAAAAUUUAUUCGGGCCACGUGUGGCCGGAGGAGGUUUUCUGGAGGACGUGGCAGGUGGUGGUGAGCAAUGGCUUCCCCAGGCGCCGCGUUAGCGGCUGAUGCAUUUCUUAGAGCAGAAUUUUAGACACAAACCUUCUCUCUCUCUCCUGCCGGCAUUGAACACAUCUUAGUGUCAUGGGUGGGAAAGGCUCCUGCCAUCCCGUACGUCUCCUGCUGUUCCCUUUGCCUGGCCGAUGCCAUCCCACCACUGCAGGCCCCUCUUCUGCUAAUUCUAUUCAUCCUUAAGGUCUCAGGCUAAACACGGCUGAAAUCUGGGGACGUUUCCUGACCUCAGAGGACACCAGGCCAUUGCUAGAUGCUGUCUUUGUCCUGCGUGUCUCUAGAGCACUUGCACACUUGAAGCUCUUAAUUGCUCAAUGGUUCUCUUUGUUGCUUGAAGUAAAGCUUCCAGGAGCUUAAGAACCUCACAUCUUCACCGUGUGCAUGUAAACACCUAAAGUCUUAGAGGCCUUCUCCGGCCACGCAGGCCAGCUGGCUUGUCCUCCAACAUGCAGCCACACUCCUGCCUUGGACCUUCCUCCCAAAGAUUUGCUCUAUGUGAAAAGCUCUUCUCUCAUGUACCUGCUUAGCCCACAUCUUCACUUGCAUCAAGACUUUGUGCAAAUGUAACACACAGAGUUGCUGAUUCACUGUGCUGCAUGCCUGAAAGGAAUCUGAGGUUGUCUAUCAGCUGUAAUGCAGUAAACAAAACAAAACAAAAUAAUAGAACAGAAGAAUCAAGGGGUGGGAGGUGGAGGAAAUGGGU